CUACGGGCGGCUGCAGGUGCGUAACCUCUACAAUGCACGAAAGUGUGAUAGGGGUAUCCUGAGUGCUUAUGCUUUGCAUAGGCUUUUGUUAAGAGUAAAUAUCUUAGCGAAUAAGUGGUGGGAAAGACAGGUGCCAGCCGCCGCGGUAACACCUGCGCCACAAGUAGGAACCAACUUUAUUUGGUCUAAAGCGUCUGUAGCCUGUGUGAAAAAUCUUUUGUGAAAUUGUUGUGCUUAACAUAACAGCGUGCAAGAGACACUUUUACACUAGGGACUGGGAGGAGUGAGAGGUAUUCCAGGGGGAGCGGUAAUAUGUUAUAAUCCCUGGAAGACCACCUGUGGCGAAGGCGUCUCACUAGAACAGAUCCGACGGUCAGAGACGAAAGCUAGGGGAGCGAUCCGGAUUAGAUACCCGCGUAGUC
rnacentral:rRNA from 1 species